rnacentral:lncRNA from 1 species
AGAACAUUACUAUAUUACUGUUCCGCCCUCAUAUGAAGACCUCGAGGAUGAGAAAUAACAACCUUUCCCUCCUCCUGCAUCCCCGCUUUGUGCAAAGUUACUAAGGAAACGGACAACCGCAUCCGGCAAAAGGGAGCCUGAAGGAAAAGGGGAAAGACAGGAACAGGAGAAUUUGAACAAAUGCAGUCACAGACUGGAAACAGAGACGUACAAUGCACAGAAGAUUUCAGACGAGAAGGUCUGUGGCUUCCUCCUCUCACACAUGGAAGAAGAGCCCAUGACUACAUGGAGAGAACUUCCGGCUGAUAUGGACGUUGAGAAGUUUUUGUCCGAAAAGGGCAUUUCCGCUUUGUGGGAUGUUCUCUGUAACACAGCUUUCAAAGGACAAGGCUAUGAGGUAAGACAUAAGUCAUUUUUUUAAUUUUUUUUAUAUAAUAUUAUCAUAUGUAUCACUCUAGGUGGAGAGCUAUAUUAAUUUGUUGUAUAGACUUUCAAUAUUACAUAUCUACUAAAAGCAGCAUCUAUUAUCAUUGUUGAUUGCAUUAGAACAUUUUACUUUAAAACCCUUCACAUC